rnacentral:rRNA from 1 species
UGGGGAAUUUUGGACAAUGGGCGAAAGCCUGAUCCAGCAAUGCCGCGUGUGUGAAGAAGGCCUUCGGGUUGUAAAGCACUUUUGUCCGGAAAGAAAUCCUUGGCUCUAAUACAGUCGGGGGAUGACGGUACCGGAAGAAUAAGCACCGGCUAACUACGUGCCGGCAGCCGCGGUAAUACGUAGGGUGCAAGCGUUAAUCGGAAUUACUGGGCGUAAAGCGUGCGCAGGCGGUUUGCUAAGACCGAUGUGAAAUCCCCGGGCUCAACCUGGGAACUGCAUUGGUGACUGGCAGGCUAGAGUAUGGCAGAGGGGGGUAGAAUUCCACGUGUAGCAGUGAAAUGCGUAGAGAUGUGGAGGAAUACCGAUGGCGAAGGCAGCCCCCUGGGCCAAUACUGACGCUCAUGCACGAAAGCGUGGGGAGCAAACAGGAUUAGAUACCCUGGUAGUCCACGCCCUAAACGAUGUCAACUAGUUGUUGGGGAUUCAUUUCCUUAGUAACGUAGCUAACGCGUGAAGUUGACCGCCUGGGGAGUACGGUCGCAAGAUU